rnacentral:misc_RNA from 1 species
UUUCCGUAGGUGAACCUGCGGAAGGAUCAUUAUUGGAUUUUGAAACUUCAGGCUGCUGCUGGCUCUCCUCGGAGGGCAUGUGCACGCUUGUUGUCCAUUAUUUCUCCCACUGUGCACAAAUUGUAGACCUUUCAGUAGGCCUAUGUUGUUUUACACAAUCUCUGAAUGUAAUAGAAUGGUUUUGAAUCUUGGGAAAUACAAUACAACUUUCAGCAACGGAUCUCUUGGCUCUC